UCUUCCCUCUUUGACGGCCAGAGCUUCUCGCCGGUGUUUGUACUUCCGCCGGUGUCUCUUCCUGCUUCCAUAUUCUGCGAUGUGAUCAUGAGAAGAGGAGUCAUGUGAUCUGCAUAUGGGAAGUCAUCUGGGAAGAUAAUCCUGAGACCUCUUUGUUGUUAGUCUGGAUGAUGAUUUGCUUAAGUUUUAUGGGGGUCCAUAUCCACUCUCAUGCAAGAGGAGAAAGAUUGAGUAGAAGCAAAAAACAUGUUGCAAGAAAGGUCAGUUGGCCUUGGCAUAAUUUUGAAGUAUAUAAUAUUUAUACACAGAAAAACUCACAAACUUCUCACCUUCGGUGAGACUUGAACCCUUAAUCUCCAAGGAGGACGAGAUCUGCCGGCAAACUGGAGUCCUGGAUGCCGUUGGACUGUUGACCCUUUGGCAACAUUUUUCUCUUUUCUGCUACCACAUCUUGUUGUCGUACGUCAUAAGGAAGGGAAUUUUAAGAAAGAGAAGUUUGAAACAUUAAGGAGAGGAACAGGAAAGUGAAGCAAUCUUGGACGCACAAGAUCCUACAUAUAUCACAAACUUCAUACUCCUCUUCUUUAUCAUGGAGAUGGAAGGGGAUAGAUUAUGAAACCCAAAAAGCCAGAAAAGAUGGAACUCAUCAUCAAUCAUCAUUCAUUUCACAAAAUUCCCAGUUGAAGAUUAGAACCCUAAUCAGGUACUUACUAUUGCUGUACCAAUUUUCAGGACCAUCUCCAAAACUGUCUAAAUUGUCAGCAUAUAUAUGUAGGUUUGGGACCAGAUUUAUGUCUAGAUUCAACCCCCCCAACCAUCAUGAUUUAUGAUUGAACAACACUUGUUCAAAGUUAUCAGAUCCCAAGACUCUGCUUCUA